ACUCCUACGGGAGGCAGCAGUAAGGAAUAUUGGGCAAUGGACGCAAGUCUGACCCAGCCAUGCCGCGUGAAGGAAGACGGCCCUAUGGGUUGUAAACUUCUUUUCUCAGGGGGUAAACUCUGGAACGAGUUCCGGACUGAAAGUACCUGAGGAAUAAGCAUCGGCUAACUCCGUGCCAGCAGCCGCGGUAAUACGGAGGAUGCGAGCGUUAUCCGGAUUCAUUGGGUUUAAAGGGUGCGCAGGCGGAUAUAUAAGUCGGAGGUGAAAUUCUGAUGCUCAACAUCAGCCGUGCCUUCGAUACUGUAUAUCUAGAGUCAAGUUGGAGUAGGCGGAAUGUGUUGUGUAGCGGUGAAAUGCUUAGAUAUAACACAGAACACCGAUCGCGAAGGCAGCUUACUAAACUUUGACUGACGCUCAUGCACGAAAGCNGUGGGGAUCAAACAGGAUUAGAUACCCUGGUAGUC
rnacentral:rRNA from 1 species